CUCGACGCCAAGACCGCGCCCUUUGGGGUGAGGUAGUAGGUUGUAUAGUU
rnacentral:precursor_RNA from 1 species